rnacentral:misc_RNA from 1 species
CGCAGCCGCGGUAAUUCCAGCUCCAAUAGCGUAUAUUAAAGUUGUUGCAGUUAAAAGCUCGUAGUUGAAUUUCGGGAUCAAUAUUUCGGUCAUGCCGUUGGUAUGCACUGUUAUCAUUGAUUUCUCACCUUCUAAAGAACCGUAAUGCCAUUAAUUUGGUGUUACGGGGAAUUAGGACUGUUACCUUGAAAAAUUGAGUGUUUAAAGCAGGCUCACGCUUGAAUACACUAGCAUGGAAUAAUGAAAUAGGACAUCCGAUUCUACUUUGUUGGUUUCUAGGAUCGAUGUAAUGAUUAAUAGGGAUAGUUGGGGGCAUUAGUAUUCAAUUGUCAGAGGUGAAAUUCUUGGAUUUAUUGAAGACUAACUACUGCGAAAGCAUUUGCCAAGGAUGUUUUCAUUAAUCAAGAACGAAAGUUAGGGGAUCGAAGACGAUCAGAUA